GCUCAAAUUUGUAAUCUGGCUGUCUUCGAUAGUCCGAGUUGUAAUCUAUAGACGUGUUUUCCGUGCUGGACCGUAUCUAAGUCCCUUGGAACAGGGUAUCAAAGAGGGUGACAAUCCCGUGCUUGAUACGACCACCAGUGCUCUGUGAUACACGCUCUACGAGUCGAGUUGUUUGGGAAUGCAGCUCAAAAUGGGUGGUAAAUUCCAUCUAAAGCUAAAUAUUGGCGAGAGACCGAUAGCGAACAAGUACCGUGAGGGAAAGAUGAAAAGCACUUUGGAAAGAGAGUUAAACAGUACGUGAAAUUGUUGAAAGGGAAACGAUUGAAGUCAGUCGUGUUCUUUGGAUUCAGCUAGUUCUUCUAGUCUACUUCCUUUGAACGGGUCAACAUCAGUUUUGUCCGGUGGAUAAAGAUAGUAGGAAUGUAGCUCCCUCGGGAGUGUUAUAGACUAUUAUUGCAUGCACUGGGUGAGACUGAGGACUGCAGCUCGCCUUUUGGCCGACCUUCGGGUACGUUCGAGCUUAGGAUGUUGACA
rnacentral:rRNA from 1 species